rnacentral:lncRNA from 1 species
CAUUAAUCCAUUAUGGAAGUGGUUUUGACUGCUGGAUAAGUUGCUGGAAAAUAAGGACACUAUCACAGAAUGUUUAAGGGCACCUUACUACCUCCAAAUUGAGUUGGUAGGACAAUAUCUCAAAAUGUCAGAGGUAUCCAAACAACAACCAGCUGAAGUAAUCACCUCUUGUCUGAUGGAGACUUGUUGGCACAGAUAACCUCUCUACAUGCAGAAUAUUUCAAUAAAUUGUAUGGAAUCCAGUACAGAUCUACUGGCAUUUCUGGUUCUGUUAAAAACACGUGAGUUUAUCUUUCACAUGGUAUUAGAAAAAGCUUUGUAUUUUUUCCAUUCAAACUCAGUUAAUACAUUUUUCCCCAGAUUUUUUUUUUGUACAUAAAAGCAUUCUGAAGUACACAUUAUUUCCCAAUAAACCAAUCAAGGUCAGGUAGAUUCUUGAGAAGACGAAAUGGUUCCUGGUUUUGGCUCUGCAUUUUGACAGGUGCCUUUAACUAGAUAUUAUAACAGCUUUCUUUAGUUGCUGUGUAGUGAGGAGUCUCUAAUCUUUCUUUAGAGAAAGCAGCUGAUGGAGGGGAGUGAUGAGGAGAGAGACAUGUUGAAAUAGAAAGAAAAGAUUACCUGACUGUCAUAUGACUUCACAGGCAACAGUCAAGUGAUUCAAUUUUGAAACCAGUAUCUCCUCUGAGACCCAAACCACGGAGUGCUUUAUAAUAUCUGCACACAGAUCCUGACAGGCUGCUGAAAAUGUCUCCAUUUCAUUUGAGCCUCAUGACAUGCUACUUAAACUUGCAAAAAGAUCCUUACUUAUUCAAAUAUUAUGAUGGACAGGAAUGGGGUUACAGUGACCGAACAGGAGAAAGGACUUCUGAAGUUGAGAUGCAGCAACAGAGAAGUGUGAGAUGGAACAGAAGCUAUUGGUAAUAGCAGAAAAAGAUAUGGAGCACCAUAAAGCUAUAGAGCAUGGAAAUACAGAGUUAUAGAAC